UUGAAGUCAGGCCACUUGUGCCACGGCUUGAGCAAACCGUGCUGCCUGUAGCUCCGCCAAUAACGGGAGGCGUAAUAAUCCCGGGGAGGCCAUGCGCCACGGAAGCUGUACGCGUGGCAUAUUGGACUAGCGGUUAGAGGAGACCCCUCCCAUCACCAACUAAACGCAGCAAAAAGGGGGCCCGAAGCCAGGAGGAAGCUGUACUCCUGGUGGAAGGACUAGAGGUUAGAGGAGACCCCCCCAACACAAAAACAGCAUA
rnacentral:lncRNA from 1 species